rnacentral:rRNA from 1 species
GACGAACGCUGGCGGCGUGCUUAACACAUGCAAGUCGAACGGAAAGGCCCUGCUUUUGUGGGGUGCUCGAGUGGCGAACGGGUGAGUAACACGUGAGUAACCUGCCCUUGACUUUGGGAUAACUUCAGGAAACUGGGGCUAAUACCGGAUAGGAGCUCCUGCUGCAUGGUGGGGGUUGGAAAGUUUCGGCGGUUGGGGAUAGACUCGCGGCUUAUCAGCUUGUUGGUGGGGUAGUGGCUUACCAAGGCUUUGACGGGUAGCCGGCCUGAGAGGGUGACCGGCCACAUUGGGACUGAGAUACGGCCCAGACUCCUACGGGAGGCAGCAGUGGGGAAUAUUGCACAAUGGGCGGAAGCCUGAUGCAGCAACGCCGCGUGCGGGAUGACGUCCUUCGGGUUGUAAACCGCUUUCGCCUGUGACGAAGCGUGAGUGACGGUAAUGGGUAAAGAAGCACCGGCUAACUACGUG